GGAUUGCAUUCUACUUGGAGCUUGUGAAGCACAUGAGACUCUUCCACAAAGUGCUGAAUUUCCUGCCGAUGUGUUUACGUCUUGUCUCACAACACCUAUUAAGAUGGCUUUGAGAUGGAUCUUGCAGGCAAAGGACACCAAGUGAAUUAGAUAGAGAGGUUAAGAACUUGAGGGUGGCAUUUACUGACCUGUUUUUUAAGCAUAACACUUUCAAAGAAAUUGCAAAGCCAUCGAGAUAUUGAUGCAAAGAAUGGAAGAAUGUAUUUCACUAAUUUUUGUAUACAUUUCUUGUUUUGUAUUUAGUGAUAAAGGAAUCUGAAUUAGGCAUAAAUUAUGUUGUAAUAUGAUUUCUUAAGCCUAGACUAGUAGACUAAAUAUUGUAAUUACAUUUGAGUAAUUAAUAAAAAUAUAUUUAUGUUA